rnacentral:rRNA from 1 species
GAUGAACGCUGGCGGCGUGCCUAACACAUGCAAGUCGAACGGAAGGACGAGAAGCUUGCGUCCUUGAGGGUAGCGGGGGGCGGGAGAGUGAGACGUACAUAACCUUCCUAUUAGUCUGGGAUAACAACGUGGGACCGGAUACAAUACCGGAGCAUAUGUUGAACGGCAGGGAUCAGAAGUAAUUGGCGGUCUGGCUGGCACUUAUAGCUGAUGCCGCGCUGGCUUAGCUAGUGGGUAAGGUAACGGCUUACCAAGGCGACGAUGCAUAGCCGACCUGAGAGGGUGAUCGGCCACACUGGAACUGAGACACGGUCCAGACUCCUACGGGAGGCAGCAGUAGGGAAUCUUGCGCAAUGGGCGCAAGCCUGACGCAGCAAUGCCGCGUGAGUGAUGAAGGUCUUCGGGUCGUAAAGCUCUUUUAUUGGGAAAGAACAUCUGUGGAAUUAUCUGUGGCUGUCGUGACGGUACCUAAUCAAAAAGCACCGGCUAACUACGUG